ACAGAAAUUGCCAGCCUCUAUCUGACGCAGCGUGUAAGACAAGGACACAGGUCUUGUGCAACUCUGAGAUUCUGCUGCCUGAAGACACAAAGGCUCUGUAGUCUUCUGGAAGCCAACACAAUGGCUCAAGGCCAAGGCCAUUGCUCAGCAGCCAGUGCUAAGUUCAUGCACUGGGGUCAGGGGCGCAUGCACUGGGGUCAGGGGCGCAUGCACUGGGGUCAUGGCGCAUGCACUGGGGUCACGGCACAUGCACUGGGGUCAGGGGCGCAUGCACUGGGGUCAGGGGCACAUGCACUGGGGUCAGGGGCACAUGCACUGGGGUCAUGGCACAUGUACUGGGUUGGUGGCACAUGUACUGGGGUCAGGAGCACACUGCUUUGAAAAGGUCUGCCAUCUCACUAAUGUGGGAAGUCGGUGACUUUAGUUUGCUUGCCCCCUUUCUUCUUUAUUUCAGCUGGGAGUCAGUGCAGCAUGCUGCUCUGAGAUCUGGCUCCACUGUGCAGUGGCCAGCCACAGUCCUGGACUGUCCACAAAGCGAACUCCAUGUUCCUCUCUGGAUUUAAAGUCUUUGUUU
rnacentral:lncRNA from 1 species